rnacentral:rRNA from 1 species
UACGUAGGGGACGAGCGUUGUCCGGAAUUACUGGGCGUAAAGGGCGCGCAGGCUGUAGAUCAAGUCAGCUGUGAAAUGUCUGGGCUUAACCCGGGCAUGCGGUUGAAACUGAUGUACUGGAGUGCUGUAGAGGCAAGUGGAAUUCCCAGUGUAGCGGUGAAAUGCGUAGAUAUUGGGAAGAACACCAGUGGCGAAGGCGAUUCUCUGGACUGUAACUGACGCUGAGGCUCGAAAGCGUAGGGAGCAAACAGGAUUA